GACGAACGCUGGCGGCGUGCCUAAUACAUGCAAGUCGAACGCUUUUUCUUUCACCGGAGCUUGCUCCACCGAAAGAAAAAGAGUGGCGAACGGGUGAGUAACACGUGGGUAACCUGCCCAUCAGAAGGGGAUAACACUUGGAAACAGGUGCUAAUACCGUAUAACACUAUUUUCCGCAUGGAAGAAAGUUGAAAGGCGCUUUUGCGUCACUGAUGGAUGGACCCGCGGUGCAUUAGCUAGUUGGUGAGGUAACGGCUCACCAAGGCAAAGAUGCAUAGCCGACCUGAGAGGGUGAUCGGCCACACUGGGACUGAGACACGGCCCAGACUCCUACGGGAGGCAGCAGUAGGGAAUCUUCGGCAAUGGACGAAAGUCUGACCGAGCAACGCCGCGUGAGUGAAGAAGGUUAUCGGAUCGUAAAACUCUGUUGUUAGAGAAGAACAAGGAUGAGAGUAAAAUGUUCAUCCCUUGACGGUAUCUAACCAGAAAGCCACGGCUAACUACGUGCCAGCAGCCGCGGUAA
rnacentral:rRNA from 1 species